rnacentral:rRNA from 1 species
AUUGAACGCUGGCGGCAUGCUUUACACAUGCAAGUCGAACGGUAACAGGCCGCAAGGUGCUGACGAGUGGCGAACGGGUGGGUAAUGCAUCGGAACGUGCCCAGUCGUGGGGGAUAACGCAGCGAAAGCUGCGCUAAUACCGCAUACGAUCUAUGGAUGAAAGCGGGGGACCGUAAGGCCUCGCGCGAUUGGAGCGGCCGAUGUCAGAUUAGGUAGUUGGUGGGGAAAAGGCGCACCAAGCCAACGAUCUGUAGCUGGUCUGAGAGGACGACCAGGCACACUGGGACUGAGACACGGCCCAGACUCCUACGGGAGGCAGCAGUGGGGAAUUUUGGACAAUGGGCGCAAGCCUGAUCCAGCAAUGCCGCGUGCAGGAAGAAGGCCUUCGGGUUGUAAACUGCUUUUGUACGGAACGAAACGGUCCUGGUUAAUACCUGGGGCUAAUGACGGUACCGUAAGAAUAAGCACCGGCUAACUACGUGCCAGCAGCCGCAGUAAAAC